rnacentral:lncRNA from 1 species
UCAGCUACGCACCUGGAGAAUGAAGUUGAUGCCUGGAAAUGAGCACUGAGCAAGGAACAUAAAGUAUCUUAUUUUCUAAUAGCGUUAAAAUGUUUGCUCGUCCCUGCUGCAGAGUGGAUCCAAUGAAUAUCCUCAUUGCAUUCCUAUGAGAAAAAGGUUUAUGCUUUGCUAUGUGAGAAUAGAAAUCAAACAAAAUAUCUAAAGUAACCUUCAAGAUCACCUUAAUGUCCAAGUCACAGAAACCUGUAAGCAAGUUUAAAUGCUCUUUUAUUUCAAGAUGUAGAAAACAAUUUUCAUGCAUUUUUCUGACCUUUGCAUGUAUUUUCUUCACCUCUGAAGCCAGAAACUGGUUCAUCCUCUGUUUGAAGGCUCCUAUCUUAAGUCUGUUAACGAUUUUCUGUUUGUUUUGGCUUCAGGCAGAAAGUUUCCUCAGUUCAGCUGUAUUCUAAAGCCAAGACCAGAAUAGAAAGAAUAUUUCAGCAUUUUAACCCCAAGAAAUCCUCUUCUGUCCUUUCAAAACAGCAAAUAUUAGUCUUGUCUAGAAUUUCCCACAUUAGAUGAAAAAGUCCUUCAUGUAAGUCUAUUUCACACAGAGAAUAUACUUAUUUAAAGAGAAAAGGUCACAGAAACUGCAAAGCGUCUCAUUAGAACUGUUUUGCCAUUCCAAGUGUGUCUGAGUGUCACACAUACGGAUGCUGCUUAGUAUCUAAUUGAAACCCUCGUCUUCCUCGAGUCAAGGGAAAAUGUGUGAUCUGAA